GGCUUGGUUAGAUGAUACCAAACCGGUCGGUGCCUUAACGGAAUUUUCAAUUCCGACAGGCUUAGAUCUUCAAUUCACGAUCCUCAGCAAUCUUCAAGCUCUGAAUUAAGCUUCUCAUACUAUCAAGAUUUCGAUUAAUGUUUCGGAUUGCAAAUAAGUUCUCUCAAAUUCGAUUUUGAUUGUAGCAGAGCAAAACCUCCGGCGAUUCAAAUCUCCAUGCAGCAUUGAAUAUAAUCUGGCUACUUCAGUAUAUGCAUGUAAAGGUUGGUGCUAUAAACCGAGUGCGUAAUCAAGCAAUGGAGUACAGAAGACAAAUCAAUCAAUUGUUCAUUUCAUAAUCGGAUCAUUCUAAAGUUUACUGAGCCUAAAUCCAGCACAAAGUCUUACGAAGAUGGACAGAGAAGUAAAAAAAAACAGAAAGAGAAGAAUUCAUCAACUCCAUAAGAAAGCAAGGUGUAUAGCCUGACGGUUUACCUAAGCCUGAAGUAGGAAGAGCAGUACCAAGUGUUUGAUGUGUCUGUUUUGCACGAAAUGAUUGCUGCUGAUUGGGAGGGGUCUUACGUGUGUCAUCAUUUCUGCAAGGAAGAUUGAUUAAGGAAAUACAGGAAGCAAUGAAGAUCUUGAUUGAUGCUUCUCUAAACCAUACCAAUACCAAUAAAUAAGGUA